UACGGAGGGUGCAAGCGUUAUCCGGAUUCACUGGGUUUAAAGGGUGCGUAGGUGGGUUGGUAAGUCAGUGGUGAAAUCCCCGAGCUUAACUUGGGAACUGCCAUUGAUACUAUCAGUCUUGAAUACCGUGGAGGUUAGCGGAAUAUGUCAUGUAGCGGUGAAAUGCUUAGAUAUGACAUAGAACAUCAAUUGCGAAGGCAGCUGGCUACACGAAUAUUGACACUGAGGCACGAAAGCGUGGGGAUCAAACAGG
rnacentral:rRNA from 1 species